rnacentral:rRNA from 1 species
AACACAUGCAAGUCGAACGGGACUGAUUGAAAGCUUGCUUUGAAAAGUCUAGUGGCAAACGGGUGAGUAACGCGUAGGCAACCUGCCUCUAAGAUGGGGGCAACAGUCCGAAAGGACUGCUAAUACCGAAUGUUGUGAGUUUUCCGCAUGGAGAGCUCAUUAAAGAUGGCCUCUACUUGUAAGCUAUCACUUAGAGAUGGGCCUGCGUCUGAUUAGCUGGUUGGUGGGGUAACGGCCCACCAAGGCGACGAUCAGUAGCCGGUCUGAGAGGAUGAACGGCCACAUUGGGACUGAGACACGGCCCAGACUCCUACGGGAGGCAGCAGUGGGGAAUCUUCCGCAAUGGGCGAAAGCCUGACGGAGCAACGCCGCGUGAAGUGAAGAAGGUCUUCGGAUCGUAAAGCUCUGUCGAAGGGGACGAACGUGGGUUCUAUCAACAACGGAACCUAAUGACGGUACCUUUCAAGAAAGCCACGGCUAACUACGUGCCAGCCGCAGC